CUCACACAGACACAGAAACAACGAGGAAACAAAGACACAGAAAAUCCCAUUUUUUACUGCAAAAACUCCAGGACCAAGAAUUGGAGGAAAAAAGAAGGAACAAACAAUUCCACCAGGGAUCGUUCUCAGCUUAUCAACAACAAGAGCUGCCAAAACACCAGGAAUGAUCCCAGUCCAAAACACCAGGAAUGAUCCCAGUCCCACCAUCCCAUGCUCAGCGAUGGAGAAAACAUGGGAAGCAGUCCCUAACACCUGGAGCUGAUCCAGGUAAGAAAAUUCCAUCUAAAAUAGUCCCAAUUCCCACAGGAAAUAGGAGAAAAGGAAAGGCCCAGUUUCAUCCUGAUCCGGAGACGCAGCUUUAUCUUCCCUCCAUCCCACGGGAACGGCCAAGAGAUGGAGUCGUUCCUGAAUGUUUGGGCUCAGCUCCAGAUUCCCAUGGAGUUCAGAUCCCGGGGCAAAGGAUCUUUGCUCCUUCCAGGGCGGACAUUCUGAUCCACCUCAGGGCAGUGGGUUUGGAUUAAGGAUUGAAAACAUCACUGAACAGCAAGCAGGGACCAUGGAUUGGGAUUUCACCAAGGCUCCUGAUCUUUGGGAUCAAAACUUGGGACCAGUUGGAAAAGUCCAAGUUCAAAGGAGUUUGGGAGCAGGGAUUUGUAAAUGCACCCAGAGAAUAUUUUUUUUCUUGGAAGUUUCCAGUCAAUCCCAAAGGAACGAGGACUUGGAAACCCAGGAGAAAGGCAGAGGAG